rnacentral:rRNA from 1 species
UGAGGAAUAUUGGUCAAUGGGCGGAAGCCUGAACCAGCCAAGUCGCGUGAGGGAAGAAGGCCCUGCGGGUCGCAGACCUCUUUGGACGGGGAGCAAGGCCACCGACGUGUCGGCGGAAGGAGAGUACCCGUAGAACAAGCAUCGGCUAACUCCGUGCC